UGGUAUAAGGCAGGGGUCAGCAACCAGCAGCUCUGGAGCCACAUGUGGCUCUUUCAUCCCUCUGCUGAGGCUCCCUGUCACUCAAAAUAUGCAUCACAAUCACCAAUGUGUGUGACACCCACUGGCACAUGAUUUAUUGAGCUUUUUGACCCCCAGUAGGCCAACCAUGGAUAAAUCCAAGAAAAGAAAAAUUUCAGAAGAAAAUGGAAAGUUUAA